rnacentral:lncRNA from 1 species
UUGUAUUCCUCUUUUCCUUUUAUCUAUAGUGAAUGUAGCAUUUUUCAAAAGCUGUUCUUUUAUUGUUUUUCGCUUUUCUCUUUUGCUUUUUUUUUUUUUUUUUACAUUCACUUACUGCAAAGCUACCCCAAACUUAAAGGUUGCUAUACCAAUAGCAACCCCAAACUUAGAUAGAAACGUAGAGAUGAAAUUAAUCCUCACAUACUCUGAACAGG